CACGUAGGGUGCGAGCGUUGUCCGGAAUUAUUGGGCGUAAAGAGCUCGUAGGCGGUGUGUCGCGUCGGCCGUGAAAACUUGCAGCUUAACUGUGGGCGUGCGGUCGAUACGGGCAUCACUGGAGUUCGGCAGGGGAGACUGGAAUUCCUGGUGUAGCGGUGAAAUGCGCAGAUAUCAGGAGGAACACCGGUGGCGAAGGCGGGUCUCUGGGACGGUACUGACGCUGAGACGCGAAAGCGUGGGGAGCGAACAGG
rnacentral:rRNA from 1 species